rnacentral:rRNA from 1 species
GAUGAACGCUGGCGGCGUGCCUAAUACAUGCAAGUCGAGCGAACAGACGAGGAGCUUGCUCCUUCGACGUUAGCGGCGGACGGGUGAGUAACACGUAGGUAACCUACCUAUAAGACUGGGAUAACUUCGGGAAACCGGAGCUAAUACCGGAUAAUAUUUCGAACCGCAUGGUUCGAUAGUGAAAGAUGGCUUUGCUAUCACUUAUAGAUGGACCUGCGCCGUAUUAGCUAGUUGGUAAGGUAACGGCUUACCAAGGCAACGAUACGUAGCCGACCUGAGAGGGUGAUCGGCCACACUGGAACUGAGACACGGUCCAGACUCCUACGGGAGGCAGCAGUAGGGAAUCUUCCGCAAUGGGCGAAAGCCUGACGGAGCAACGCCGCGUGAGUGAUGAAGGUCUUCGGAUCGUAAAACUCUGUUAUUAGGUAAGAACAAACGUGUAAGUAACUGUGCACGUCUUGACGGUACCUAAUCAGAAAGCCACGGCUAACUACGUG